rnacentral:rRNA from 1 species
GCCCGCUCAAGAACUACGAAAGGAAUUGACGGGGGCCCGCACAAGCGGUGGAGUAUGUGGUUUAAUUCGAUGCAACGCGAAGAACCUUACCUGGUUUUGACAUCCCGGAGACCCUUAGGAAACUAGGGGGUGCCUUCCAUCUGGAAGAAUCUGGAGACAGGUGCUGCAUGGCUGUCGUCAGCUCGUGUCGUGAGAUGUUGGGUUAAGUCCCGCAACGAGCGCAACCCUUGCCUUUAGUUGCCAGCAGUUCGGCUGGGCACUCUAAAGGGACUGCCGGUGUUAAACCGGAGGAAGGUGGGGAUGACGUCAAGUCCUCAUGGCCUUUAUGACCAGGGCUACACACGUACUACAAUGGCCGAUACAAAGGGCAGCGACACUGCGAGGUGAAGCCAAUCCCGUAAAAUCGGUCUCAGUCCGGAUUGGAGUCUGCAACUCGACUCCAUGAAGUUGGAAUCGCUAGUAAUCGUGGAUCAGCAUGCCACGGUGAAUACGUUCCCGGGCCUU